GCCUAUGUGGCCUAAUGGAUAAGGCAUUGGCCUCCUAGGUCGGGGAUUGUGGGUUCAAGACCCAUCAGAGGUG
rnacentral:tRNA from 1 species